AGAGUUUGAUCCUGGCUCAGAUUGAACGCUGGCGGAAUGCUUUACACAUGCAAGUCGGGCGGCAGCGCGGGGGCAACCCUGGCGGCGAGCGGCGAACGGGUGAGUAACACAUCGGAACGUACCCUGUCGUGGGGGGAUAACGAAUCGAAAGAUUCGCUAAUACCGCAUACGACCUGAGGGUGAAAGCGGGGGAUCGCAAGACCUCGCGCGAGAGGAGCGGCCGAUGGCGGAUUAGCUAGUUGGUGGGGUAAAGGCCCACCAAGGCUACGAUCUGUAGCGGGUCUGAGAGGAUGAUCCGCCACACUGGAACUGAGACACGGUCCAGACUCCUACGGGAGGCAGCAGUGGGGAAUUUUGGACAAUGGGGGCAACCCUGAUCCAGCCAUGCCGCGUGAGUGAAGAAGGCCUUCGGGUUGUAAAGCUCUUUCGGCCGGGAAGAAAUCGCAUAGGCUAAUACCCUGUGUGGAUGACGGUACCGGAAUAAGAAGCACCGGCUAACUACGUG
rnacentral:rRNA from 1 species